rnacentral:rRNA from 1 species
AGUGAACGCUGGCGGUAGGCCUAACACAUGCAAGUCGAACGGCAGCACAGGAGAGCUUGCUCUCUGGGUGGCGAGUGGCGGACGGGUGAGGAAUACAUCGGAAUCUACCUUUUCGUGGGGGAUAACGUAGGGAAACUUACGCUAAUACCGCAUACGACCUACGGGUGAAAGUGGGGGACCGCAAGGCCUCACGCGAUUAGAUGCGCCGAUGUCCGCUUAGCUAGUUGGCGGGGUAAUGGCCCACCAAGGCGACGAUCGGUAGCUGGUCUGAGAGGAUGAUCAGCCACACUGGAACUGAGACACGGUCCAGACUCCGACGGGAGGCAGCAGUGGGGAAUAUUGGACAAUGGGCGCAAGCCUGAUCCAGCCAUACCGCGUGGGUGAAGAAGGCCUUCGGGUUGUAAAGCCCUUUUGUUGGGAAAGAAAUCCUGUCGAUUAAUACUCGGUGGGGAUGACGGUACCCAAAGAAUAAGCACCGGCUAACUUCGUG